rnacentral:rRNA from 1 species
AAGCUCUAUCAGCAGGGAAGAAAAUGACGGUACCUGACUAAGAAGCUCCGGCUAAAUACGUGCCAGCAGCCGCGGUAAUACGUAUGGAGCAAGCGUUAUCCGGAAUUAUUGGGCGUAAAGCGCGCGUAGGCGGCAGCACAAGACUGGAGUGAAAUGCCGGGGCUUAACCCCGGAACUGCUUUGGAAACUGUGCAGCUAGAGUGCAGGAGAGGUAAGUGGAAUUCCUAGUGUAGCGGUGAAAUGCGUAGAUAUUAGGAGGAACACCAGUGGCGAAGGCGGCUUACUGGACUGUAACUGACGUUGAGGCUCGAAAGCGUGGGGAGCAAACAG